rnacentral:tRNA from 1 species
GGGGACUUAGCUUAGCGGCAUAAGCGCCUGCCUUGUAAGCAGGCAGUUAUGAGUUCGAUCCCCG